AUUUCCUCCUCCUCUCUCUUCUCUCCUCUCUUCUGCUCCUUUGUGGCUGCGAUUUGACCUCUACCUCCUGGAGCCAGGCACGAACUAGAUCAGGAAACUAUUUCUUUUUUCUCAUGGUGUGGUGCCUUACUGAGAAGAACCAGGUCCUUCCUGAGCCCAACAGGCUCUCUGAAGGAUGCGGUCUCAGUCAGUAUUCGGGGAUCUGCAGGGAGCCAUGGAGUCUGCAGUACCACAGGAAGUUGGAGGGAGGACACACCAAUGGCAGAGUCCAGGGAUGGGGACACUGAAGGACAGAGAUGUGAAUUCACAUGACCCAAGGUCAUCCAUCUAGGAAGCAGCUCAGGCUGAGCUUCGAUGUCUGACUCCAGAGUCUGUGUCUUCUGCGACUGUACUACAGUGCCCCAUGAGGAUCAAACCAGGUGACAAAUGUACAGCACUCAGUCCCAUGUCUGGUCCAAUGAAAGUGAAGUGAAAUGAAAG